rnacentral:lncRNA from 1 species
GGGGGAUAAUCAAAACUGCUUGUUUCUAAAAAUAUAUUCUAUUUGUGUUGUUGAUAUGUACAUAUGCACUUCGAUAAAUACAUGUUGUUUAAACUAUUCAUAACUAAAUUAUUCCUUAUAAAAGACGAUAAAAAUCAAUCAAUGAAAUUUAGCCAUUAUCCAAGCUCUUGUUAUUUGUUGUGUUUUGUAUUUUCUGUUACUGGGAUAAAAGAUAACCAGAACGUCCAUGGAAAUCUGACGAAGACCUUUACUUACUUGAAAAUCUCUAAAGGUUUGGGGAUUUUCAAGAUUUAAAUAUUGAUUUACGUAAGUUGUAAAUAUUUUUUCAACGAAAGUUUCUUUUUUCUUCUUCUUCCUUUUGAACAAUUAUAAUAAGCCCGAUCGUAAAGUCGUC